GAAAGAUUCAUCGGAAGAGGAUGGGCAUGCGGCGCAUUAGCUUGACGGCGGGGUAACGGCCCACCGUGGCGACGAUGCGUAGGGGUUCUGAGAGGAAGGUCCCCCACACUGGUACUGAGACACGGACCAGACUCCUACGGGAGGCAGCAGUGAGGAAUAUUGGUCAAUGGGAGAGAUCCUGAACCAGCCAAGCCGCGUGAGGGAAGACGGCCCUAUGGGUUGUAAACCUCUUUUGUCGGAGAACAAAACCCGGGACGUGUCCCGGACUGCGUGUAUCCGAAGAAAAAGCAUCGGCUAACUCCGUGCCAGCAGCCGCGGUAAUACGGAGGAUGCGAGCGUUAUCCGGAUUUAUUGGGUUUAAAGGGUGCGUAGGCGGUCUGUUAAGUCAGCGGUAAAAUUGCGGGGCUCAACCCCGUCGAGCCGUUGAAACUGGCAGACUUGAGUUGGCGAGAAGUACGCGGAAUGCGCGGUGUAGCGGUGAAAUGCAUAGAUAUCGCGCAGAACUCCGAUUGCGAAGGCAGCGUACCGGCGCCAGACUGACGCUGAGGCACGAAAGCGUGGGGAUCGAACAGGAUUAGAUACCCUGGUAGUCCACGCAGUAAACGAUGAAUGCUGGUUGUCCGGGUCGAAUGA
rnacentral:rRNA from 1 species